rnacentral:rRNA from 1 species
GACGUAGGGCGCGAGCGUUGUCCAGAUUUAUUGGGCGUAAAGAGCUCGUAGGCGGCUUGUCGCGUCGUCCGUGAAAACCUGCAGCUCAACUGCAGGCUUGCGGUCGAUACGGGCAGGCUAGAGUUCGGUAGGGGAGACUGGAAUUCCUGGUGUAGCGGUGAAAUGCGCAGAUAUCAGGAGGAACACCGGUGGCGAAGGCGGGUCUCUGGGCCGAUACUGACGCUGAGGAGCGAAAGCGUGGGGAGCGAACAGG